CUUGUUGUGCAUAAGGAUGGCACAUCCCGGCUCCAGUUGAUCCUUAUCGACAAAGGACAGGAUGCUGACGUAGUAUUCCGGCCCAACCGACGACGAAACGAUGGCGUGGUUCUCGUCGAUGAGCUCCUCGAGGUUCCCGACACUCAUGGGCGACCCCCGGAGGUCGUCGACCUUGGAUCGGUCCUCCUCGUUCUUCUCCUCCUGGGGGCGGAGGCGCUCCUGGUUGGCGACGAACUCCUCCUCCAUGAGGAGGUAGUCCUUGACGCGCUCGAGCUUGAGUAGCCGUAGGCGGCACUUAGAAAGCGGGGUGACGGCCGGGAGACGGGCGGCGGCCUCGGGCCCCUUCUGCCUGCGCUGCUUCCUUCCCACGCGGGACGGCGGCGCCGCCGGCUCGAACUUCUUGUCCUUCUUGUCGCCGUCCCGCUUCCGAUCACCGGGGAGGCCCUGCUUGCCCAUGCCGCCGGGGGUUCCCUGGCCCAUCGAUCCUAGGGUUUCGAGGAUACCGAGAGGGUUCGAGAUCGAGGAUGAGGAGAGAAAGAAGGUGGUGCCAAUUUGGGGGCCGAUCUGAGGCAUUAUGUACUUCCCUUCAAAAGACACGCAUAGAUGACGUGUAAGGAUCGGAGCCGUUCGAUUAUUUUUCGUUUCUUUUCUUUUCUUUUUUAUUGAACCCGAGUGAAUCUCACCGUUUAAAUCGAAUUGAUGUAAAAGAAUAUAAGGUAAUUUUCCUAUAAAACAUUUACCUUUUGGAUUUUUUUAUCAUCUAUAUCUUCAUUUUAAUUUUCCUGCCUCCAAAUAAAAAUUACUUAAAAUCGUUCCUAAAAUUUUUUUUUUGUAUGUUAUAGUAUUUUGUCCAUCAUAAUAAAAACAUGGUAAAAUCUUAUUUUUAAAAAUAUUAUAAAUAAGUAUAUCUCAUAUUAUGAUUCAAAUAGGUAUUUAUAAUAGUUUAAUAAUAACAUAAUCCAAAUAGAAAUAAAAAAAAUUAGUUUGUUAUAAUAUUUUGACCAUCUCAAUAAAAACACUAUAUGAUCCACUCAAAAAUAUUAUAUAUGACACAAGUGGACUUCUAUAUCAAUAAUGACAAUGAAAGAAACAAAAUUAUGAUGGUACUGUUUUUUUUCAAUGGCAUUUGAAGUAUUUUUAAUUUUUCAAUAGAAUAUUAUAAAUACUGUUAAAAAUUGCUGUAAACGAAUCAAAUGAUAAAACAAAUAACAGCUUAAAAUUGGUAAAAUAUGAGCAAAGAAAAUUGAUAGAAAAAUUUUUGAAAUAUAUUUUGGAUAUUUUUUCAAAUUAAGGUUACUGUUUGGAACAAAAUAAAAUGGGGGUAUCUUAAGAAAAAUACCUAAAAUAUGAGUUUUUUCUAAAAAAACCCAAAAAAAAUAUGAUCGAUAUUUUUAAUAAAAAUAAAAUUCAUAUAUAUGACAUGAUUUUUUUUCUAGUAUUUUCACACUACCAACUAAAUUUGAGAUCAAUUUUGAUUAAAAAUUAGAUAUUUAAAUAGUUAGUAAGCAUUACAGCUCCCUAGUCAUGGUAUCUACAUUGAGAUGGGUUCAAAUGAGAGAAACAUGAGCUUGUCUAAUGCUAAAGGGAGAACACAUUACAAUAACAUUGUUCUUGCAAUAGACUAACAACCCUCAUAACAUACAUUAACAGUGUAAUAUAAUGUAAGCAGAUGAGAGAGCCAUGUCCACAUCACCUUUUCAUAUUCAACGAAGAGAUACCAAAUUAGAACAUAAAAUUUGCUAUAAGAAAUAAAAUUGGGACAAUCAUAAGAAUCAAUCGAUCUUUUUCCAAUAUAUAUAUAUAGAGAAUUCUGAACUCCAUGUUGAGGAUGCAUAGUGUCCCAGAAGAACAACGUCCCCGCUGAACAUUAAGUGUGAGCAAUUUUACCUGUGGCCAAAACAAAUCAGUUAAAUAGAGUGACACCAAAACUACCCGAACAAAUUAAAGUCAAUAAGUUGAGACCACAACUGUAGUGAAAAAGAUUUCCAAAUAACCACAAGGAUAAGAACAGUGAAAGCAAUUAGCAAACUCACGAAUAAACUGGAGACAUUUAAUAACUUUCUUAACAAUGGUAUUCGGAGGAUAAGUGGGCCAUGGACUAACAAAUUCCCAAGACAUAUCUCAGACAACCUUGACCACAUGUAGUGUUAAACAUACUAGGAAAACUGCCAGUGAGUUGAUGAUCCUUCUUUACAUUUCUGCUGAAACACCAACAGAGGUAGUUUGAAUGCAAAUAGCAGCAAUGCUAUCGAAAGCACUAGGUGCUAUACAGCAGCAAGGUCCCUUAUAAUUUUACUUUCAUUCGGGAUCGUUUUAAUCUUCUAAGAUUUCUACAUUUUUCACUCUGCCUGAAAUGAUGUGAACUGCAACAUUAAAUUGAUUAAUUAAGCUGCAGAUGAGAGUUGACGUCAAAGGAAAGAAGAAGAGGGAGCACAGAUAACUAUAAAGACAGAGUGCGACGGUGGAAGCAAACAAAGGCAAGAGAAAAGAGAGAGGAAGGAUAGGAGAGAAGCAGCAAAUGGUUUAUGACUACAAGGUGAGACAAGAGAGAGGGCAGCGAAGGCAGUGACAGUGGAUGUGGCUAGAGAGAGGAAAGGAGAGAAGAUGAAGGGAGAGAGACUAAAGAGGGAAGAAAGGACAGCAGCUGCGGGGGAUUUAUCAUGCAUGAAGAGGCAAGAGAGAAGACAAGCAGCAACAAAGCACCCAUAGAGAGUGGAGAGAAAGAAGACCAAGGGAAGAGAGAUGAGGAUAAAUAUAUUAGACAGAGAGAGGAGUUGUGACCGAUGAUGAAAGUCAAACAGCAAAACAUGUCAUUUCUAUUUUUGAUUUCUUACUAGAGAAGUCAAGCACCAACUUAAAGGUUUGAAGCUAGUUUUAAAUAAAACAUGUUAAUAAAUUUCAUCAUGAAAUGAACACAAUUUUCUUAAAAAGGUCAUUUAAGCUAAAACAUUUCUUACUCUUCAUCUGUGAUUAUCAAGACCAAAAAACAAAAGCCUUAAAAAAAUCACAAUAAUCAAAAGCAACAAAAAAGAUCAGCCUUCACAUCAAAAGGAAAGAGGAACAGUAACUCACAUGUAGAGUCCCUCUGGUACCCCUUCCUUCUUCUUAAACAUUACCUUCUCCUUGGCCUUCUUAAAGUCUGCAUGAGUUACCUAAGCAAAAAGUGAUGCAGCAACAAGUUACAGCCAUGUAUAGCUGAAAUCACUAAGUACAAAAUAAAGCAAACAGGCAUUAGCUUUAGCCCUCAAUCAAAUGCAGGAUAAAAGUCAGGUAGUCCAACACUAAAGAGUUGCAGUCCAGUAGAAUCUAAUCCCGUGAGUCUCUCUAAGAAGCCUAGUUGAUGUUUUUAUGCUUUUAUAACACAUUGGCGACUUACCCUCUGAGACAACCACCGGAUAGUUUCAUUGUUAAUAUUUCCCUACUAAAUCUGAUCUGUCAAAUUUAAUAUAUAGUUAUAUACAAACCAAGAAAUUAACGAAUUUGGCGGAUGUUUUUUCGAGCUUCCUUGAAUGAAACUAAAAAAAACGAAAAUAAUCUGAGUCCAUAUCAACACAAAACGUUUCAAAUUUUUCAUACAGUUCAACAUGAACAAAGUGAGCUAACAUGCAACUGAGACCUAAACAGGGGAGGUUUCUGAUUCUGUCAACGAACGGUUUUACCAGUAAACCAAUCUAAGUUUGCCUACAAUGAGCAGACCUCUUCCAGACCAGAUUUGAACUGUUUAGAGUUCAAACUCUUGCCUGUUUGAUGGUUUGGGGCUUUGAAUGAUUGGUUUCUAUCACAAUCUCAAUUCUCAACGCUAGGGAAGAAAGUGGAGACAAAAGAAGGAAAACAGAAACCAGAACACCCUGCCACUUCCAGCCAAGGAAUCACCACAUUUGUUUCUUCUCAACACUAGAAAAAAGACUAGAGAAAAAAAGUCCCUACAGAUGGAGGGGAGACUGUACCACCAUAAAGCUAUGUAACAUUUCUUUCCCCACAAAAUUGAAAACUAUCUUCCUUUUUUAUCCUGAAGGGAGAAGAUUCCUGUUCCAGCAGCAUGACAUGAACCAUUCCCUACACUAUCAUGUGAGACUAUUGGAGGUUGAAAUACAUUCCAAAAGCAUGUAGGCAUCUCAAGGAAAAGAACUUAUGACCAAAAUGAUUACAACUGACGACAUUAUUAAAGAAACCAAAUGUUCUCUGCUUUGACCAUCAGAUAAGAAUACUAAUCUACAAUAUUAUGGCAAAUAUGACUUACCUUCAUCCUACGCUCUCUUAAAGCAAGCAAGCCAGCUUCAGUACAGAUUGCCUUAAUAUCAGCUCCAGAAAACUCAUCCUUUGUCAUGACAAAUUCUUCCAGGUUGACAUCAUCUGCCAGUGUCAUUCUAGAGGUGUGUAUCUAAAGAAUUUAAUAAGAAAAGAAAAACUCAGCAAAACUCAACAAAAGGAGAAAAAGAAUGAACUGAUACAUUGUACUAACUACUAAGCAUAAUCAUAUUCUUGAAAGUGACAAACCUGAAAAAUUCGGCGCCUUGUUUUAAUAUCUGGAAGAGGGAAUUCAAUCUUCCUAUCAAUACGACCAGGUCGAAGCAAGGCUGGAUCGAGGCUUUCAAUUCUGUUGGUUGCAAGAAUGACUUUAACAUCCCCCCUUGAGUCAAAACCAUCUAACUGGUUCAGCAACUCCAACAUGGUUCUCUGUAUUUCACGCUCACCGCCAGAAUGAGCAUCAUAUCUACAAUGACCAGACAAAAUUGAUAAGUUUAAUCACCAUUUGCAUACAACGGAAAAGAAAGGCAGGAAUAAUCAUUCUCAUUUAUAUACCUUUUGGUUCCAACUGCAUCUAUCUCAUCAAUGAAGACUAUAGAAGGAGAAAGUUCAUCCGCCACUCUGAAUAGUUCUCGGACAAGUUUUGGGCCAUCACCCAAAUAUUUCUGAAUCAACUCACUUCCAACAACACGCAGGAAAGUUGCUGAUGUUGAGUUAGCCACAGCCUGAUAUUAGAAAUUUAGAACCAUCAUAAACAGUCUGGAAAAAAGAACUUUAAGAAUUUCUGCACUAACAGAUCUAGAUAACAACAGCAGCAUUCAAGUUACCAUCACAUAACAACUAAACUGUAAGAACUUUAUAGUUGCAAUAGACAUCAAUAAUGAUAAUCUCAAUACCAAAGUGGGACUAAAUGAAAUUUUGUAAAUAAACAAAGAGGAUGUUGAAAAUUAUUUAAUCUAUAUGUAUCAUCGAAAACAAUAGAGGUGUAUAUUGUAUAUAGAUAGGCAGAGAUAUCACCAGUUCCCCGCCAAACUAAAAUUCAUAAAACUCAUAGAGGAUCACAUGCUAAACUGAAAUACAUAAAAUUCAACAAACCAAAAAUAAAAGAAUGAUCUCACCUUGGCAAGUAAAGUUUUACCAGUUCCUGGCUCCCCAUAAAGUAUGACUCCCUUGGGAGGUCUGAUGCCAAUAUCUUCAUACAGUUCAGGAUGUGUCAGAGGAAGUUCCACAGCUUCUUUAAUUUCUUGGAUUUGUGAAUCUAAACCGCCAAUAUCAGCAUAAGAUUCCAAAGGAGCUUUUUCAACUUUCAUGACAGAAACCAUAGGAUCAACUUCAUCCUGAAGAAGCCCAACAACUGACAGAACCUGCAAAAUACAUUUUAGUCCAAUCACCUUUAUAUCCAUCCAAAAACAACAUAUCCUGUUAUCAAAUUUUCCAGAAAUUAAGAAUUAUGUGAACAAAAGCCUCCAAGCAAAGCAUAUCAUCAAAUAUCAUGCAAAUUGAAGAUGCAUAAAGGUAAGGAUUAGAAACAACAUAGUAAACUGAAAAGUACUAAGGAAAAAGAAUCAGUGUCUAUUAGUUGCACGUACAUAGUAAUACAACAAAACCUUCCGCACUGAAAAGAAUAUAACAUUGAGCUAGACGUAGUUUCUCUGGCUUUAACAACCACAGCCAUUAACAAGUCAAAAAUGAAAUUUUGACUCAGCCUAAAACCUGAAAACAGUGUAAUAGUUUAAGUUAGACUUCAAGUUACGAGCAACAAAUCAUGAGAAAAGAAAAGGCUCCCAACCAGCUAAAAGUAAAAUUUUCAACAAACUGUAUUACAACCUAUGCAGCUCUCCAAGUAAAUCCUAUUCUCUUUAUUUCCUUUCUCCUCUUUUCUUUGUCUCUUCCCUUCAUUCUAGUCACAGAGGUGUCUUUUGCUGAUAUAUCUGGAGCACUGCUAGUGAUCAUAGUUCCUAAGGGUGUAAAACCUUAAAAGCAUAAAACUAAUGAUGAUAUAUGUCAUGUUAACCUCAUACGCUUCUGAUACAGGUUAUAAUCAAGAAUAUUUGUGGUGAUCUAUGUCAUAUUAUCUUCAUUGGCUUGUGAUACAAUAGUCCAAACAUGAUCACCAAAUCUUCAGCUAAACAAGUUCAUCAUACCUAAAUACCUGAGAACUGUGCAAAGACGUUGUACGGCUGCAACUUAAUUCAAACAAUACGACAUAAAAUAAGUUAUACGAAGAGAUCGACACCCCAAAUCCCAUCCCAAACACCGGAAAUUACCGCAAACCCUAGACAAUCUGUCGCUACCCCAAAACAGCAAUCAGGUCAAAAGAAAACAACACAAAAACUGACCUUGUUGUGCAUAAGGAUGGCACAUCCCGGCUCCAGUUGAUCCUUAUCGACAAAAGACAGGAUGCUGACGUAGUAUUCCGGCCCGACCGACGACGAAACGAUCGCGUGGUUCUCGUCAAUAAGCUCCUCGAGGUUCCCGACACUCAUGGGCGACCCCCGGAGGUCGUCGACCUUGGAUCUGUCCUCCUCGUUCUUCUCCUCCUGGGGGCGGAGGCGCUCCUGGUUGGCGACGAACUCCUCUUCCAUGAGAAGGUAGUCCUUGAUGCGCUCGAGCUUGAGUACCCGCAGGCGGCACUUAGAGAGCGGGGUGACGGCGGGGAGACGGGCGGCGGCCUCGGGCCCCUUCUGCCUGCGCUGCUUCCGUCCCACGCGGGAUGGUGGCGCCGCCGGCUCGAACUUCUUGUCCUUCUUGUCGCCGUCCCGCUUUCGAUCACCGGGGGGGCCCUGCUUCCCCAUGCCGCCGG
rnacentral:lncRNA from 1 species